rnacentral:rRNA from 1 species
UACGGAGGGGACUAGCGUUGUUCGGAAUUACUGGGCGUAAAGCGCACGUAGGCGGAUUUGUAAGUCAGGGGUGAAAUCCCGGGGCUCAACCUCGGAACUGCCUUUGAUACUGCAAAUCUCGAGUCCGGAAGAGGUGAGUGGAAUUCCUAGUGUAGAGGUGAAAUUCGUAGGUAUUAGGAAGAACACCAGUGGCGAAGGCGGCUCACUGGUCCGGUACUGACGCUGAGGUGCGAAAGCGUGGGGAGCAAACAGG